AUAACCAGGCACUUUCAGGUUAAGACACCAUUGACCUUCAACCGUUAAUUAUGGACAACAUUACUAUUUUUGGUCACAUGGAUGGAGACCUACGUCGAACUGUCCAAUUUCUUCAAGAAAGAAAUGUUAAUGUUGUUAUCCGUGAUGAGCGUGACCUUAAUGUCAUCCGUGUUCGAGAGGUAGGCCCAAUUUAAUUAUAUAGAA